rnacentral:lncRNA from 1 species
UUUUCCUACCAGGAGAUGAGGUCUUUCUCUCCGUGUAGGCCAGAGGAAAGAGUUCUUCCUUGGGGUUGCCUUGCGGCCAGGAGCAGAGCUGAGUGGCCUAGACCUCUCUGACACCCAUGUCAUGACCUGGGGGAGAAGCACCUCAUGGUGGGUGGGGAUCUGAAAACACCUCCAUUGCCUGAGGGAAAGGGGAGACUGCACAUGGGACCUCUCUAACCUCAUCAGCUGCCUAACGUGCAGCUCUGGUGAGUGUGCUUGGACUGUCACUGUCACCUGGGCACAUGGCCACGUUGAUUUAUUUUUUCUCCUGCCUUCCUCUCUCCUCUGUCCCUACUUCCUUCCGUUGACAAGUCCCCAUUAGGAAUAACCUUCCUCUUAACCAUGACCAGGACCACCAAACCAGGGCUGUCCGCUCUGGCCAAGGGAGUCUCCCAUCUCUAGCUGGGUAUCUUGGGCUUCCUGAGGUACCCAAGAGUCAGGAGAGCAGAUCUGGCAGCAGAAUACCAUGUGUGAUCAUGAGGUGAGGUGGGGGGUUUAAAAGGGAGCAGAGUCCCCAUGGGCUUGAGAAACUGUUGGUUUCUUCCCUUUUUUCUUUACGUGCUUCUGAUAUUUUUUUUUUUUAUUUUUUUUUUUCUUUUUUGAGCAGGGCAAAAAAACCCAAAACAGUGUGUGUGAACAUCAGUUUAGCAUGUCCAUAGGAAGCAAAGUCUCACAGCUGGAGGUGGGGAUGGACAAAGACCAGCCUUGGAAGGGCUCCUCACCUCAGUCAGUGUGGGGGAUCCAGCCCUGAGAUGCACUGUGGGGGGCAGAGGAGCUCCCAAGGGGACCUCCACCCACCCCCAGGUGAGUCCCGAAGCAGGGGCAGGCACCCUGUGUGCAGGGACAACCUUAACCCUUGCAGCUCCUGGGUGGUGACAAAGCCCCCUUGUCCCCAGCACUGGGGCUGCCUCCUCAGAUUAGCUCGGGGAAUAACGAGCGUUCAAACGAGGGCGGACUUGCUGGGGUGUGCUGCUUUAUUGUGUGGCUGUAAUCGAUGUUUGGGGCAGCUCGUGGAGCUUGACAAGUGAAUUUGGGCAGGGACCGUAGAUGAGGCUGAUGCAGGCUUGCUUAUUUUGAAGAGACGAGGUGUCUACGUGUCUAUAUAAAAAUGUGAAGGAAUUGCACGUGUGCACGCGUAUCCACAGCCUCACAAACUAUACAGGUCAAGCCUGGGGUGCAAACCCUCCCCUGACACCCCGUGUCCUGCUCAUGCAACCCAUGGUGCUCCUAUCCACUUGCACACCCACGCACACUCACACACGGGGUGAAGGGGGCUGGAGGUGUGAGCCUGUUUGUUCCUCCUGUACCCCCCCAACCCCCAGGGCAGCAGUUAAAGAGGCCAUUUUCUCUUUGCAGAAUCUGAACCUGAUUCUGCACUUGAAAGCCAGGGGGGAUUAAAGCCGGCAGAGGCAGGCUCAGGUCUUUGGCUCGCAAAUGCUUUGUGCAACUUCUCUGGACUUCAGCAGGGACUGCGCCUUCGGAGCUGAGCUCAGCCCCUGGCCCCGGCUCUUAAUUUCUUUGCAUGAGAGGAGAUUAACGGGGAGAGCGGAAGGCUGCACCUCUCAACUCUUUGGGCACUCCUCGCACAGCAUCUCUCUUUGUUUUCCCUCCCAUCCACAUCCCUAACCCUGUGGAAACCAGGCUCUGACUGGCUGCAAACUGCGGACAUCGGUCCUGCAGUGGGGCUUGGUACAAUUUCUUUUUUCCUCCUUUUUUUUUCUCCCUCCAGAAACAUAAGGGAUAAACACAAUCAUUUCAAAGAAGCGAAAGCUUCCCCGCUGGAGAAGCCAACAGGGACCUGCCGCGAAGUCCUGGUACGGUGUGUCACUGACACUGAUUCAAUCUGACACCUGGGUGUCUCCAAAGCCAUCACAUUGUGCGCCGCAAAUGUAUAUUAACAUUAGUAUGCAUUGGCACAAUAUGGAUCCAUUAUUCCAAAUGCUUAUGAGAACUAGGUGCUGCAUAGGAGCAGCUGCUGCUUUUUAAACCUCAGAGCAUCAAUAGAUUCAUAGAUUUUAGGGCCAGAAGGGACCCCGACGAUCGUGUAGCCUGACCUCCCACGGAGCGCCAGCCGUAGAGACUCGCCCGGUAAUUUCUGCAUCCUGCCCCACCACUCGUGGUUAAGCAGCAGCCUCCCCUGCCAGAGGCAGCCGGCUCCUAAGCACUGGAGAAGUUGCUUUUUCCCUCUGUAAAUUUGUUCCCUUGUUUUAUCACUCCCUCCUCGUUAUUAAUAAAAGGGCGUCUUUAUAUUUCGAGGCUCA